AGACAUUCAGAGUCCCAGAGCUGUUAGCCAUUCACAUCAACAUCUUCUCUAGGUGUCAGCCAUUUGCUCAAACCACUAAUCAAGCAAAUUUUGGUGACUUAAAUUACAACUCAUUUUCUUUCUUAUUUCUACCAUUGAAGGGAGGGCCUACUUAGUAAAGAAAAAGUAAAAAUGCAAGAAGCUGGAGUCUGGCCAAGGAUUUUUCAGUUAACACUAAACAGAACAGAGUUCUAUUCUAGAACAGAGAUCACUGCAGAGUCCAGAAUGCAGUCUAGAGAGGGCUGGUACUACUCCCCAAGUAUUGAGAGGGUACCUGACUUGUUAUGUAAACAGCUGUCACCAGGAAGUAGUAAAUGAAGUUAAAUAUCAGAGGAAAAAGAACUCAAAGAUCCACUGAGAGAAAUAUUCAACUGGACCAAGUGAUAAAAAUGUUACUUUUGUUAACCAAAAUACAGUCUGAGAGCAGGAUGCUGACUAGCAGGUUGACAAAGAAACAAUAUUUUUCAAGAAAAAAAUGUACACAAAUUCACCCUUCUGGAAAUGGAAACAUUUGAAAAUGAAUUUUAAUUUACUUUUUCAACAAAUUUUAGGCACCAUACAGUCUAACCUUCUCUUUUCUAUCUGCUACUACAAUGCACACACACAAACACACGUAUGGAUGGAUGGAUGCAUGCAGGUACAUUACAGGGAGAUUCUGACCGUGACAAAUUGGAUUUAUAAAUACAUAUUCAUACAGACAGUGUGUCUGUGUACCUAAUCUCUCAAAUCCAAAAUCUCCCCACAACCGUUUCAACAUCCUCCAGAAUUUCAAAUGGCUGAACAAUGAACAGUAAAGUAUCUUGGGAAUCCUUAACCUCCCUUCUGCAGCUGCAGUGGACUCCUUUCACUUUAUGAUGGGGAUGCCCCAGCUUUGCUCAAGACAGGCAAUCCUGGCAUACUGCCCAGAGCAAGGAAGCUGUAGCGGAUCUGGACAAAAUGCAAGAGUACAGACUCUUAUUUCCAACAGAGUUCAACAGGGCCAUGUGGAUGUGAACAGAAUCCUUCCUUAUGUCCAUCUUGGAGGUGAGAGGCAUCAACUCUCAUGUGCCACUGAGAGAGAGGGCAAAAAUAUUAAAAACCAUUGCUGGAAGGACACCUUGUGAGUUUGUAAGUUUUUCAGCACACUUAUCAUCUAAGAAACUAAACUAAUGAACUCAGUCCCAGAAUGCAUAGAGUUGUCCCACAUGCGAAUAGAUUUCUACCUCUAUCAAGAGUUCCCUGUGCUUUCCAGAGGGAAUGAGCACCAGCACUUGCCAUUCGAAUCUGUCAUCAAGAUGCUCUCAGGCUCUUAUCUCAGACAAUGUUGACUCCACUACCAAGUUAUAAAGUAUAAAAGGAAGUGGGUCUUAGAGAUGGUACAGAGGAAAACAUUCAUACGACAUUCCUUGUUGUAGUGAACGUAACUGGGUUUUGCAGUUUUCCCACUUCAAAAAAUCACCUGACAGUCCGUAUGCUGCGUUCAGUUCCACUCAUCAUAAAGGGAAGCACAGGAUUACCUGGGUGACAGCUUCCAAAGCCCAUGAACCAUGAAUAAGGCUGGGGACAUACGGAGACAGCAGCCUCUGUGGUGUGUUACAUUGGAUCUGGGCUGAGAGUUGCUGUCUGCUCUAGUAUCUUUAUCUCCUUUCACCUUGGAAAUUGCUGUUUGGCUCUGGCUAAUAGUUGGUUGACUUCAGGAUCACAGUAGGGACUAACUUGGAAAGUGCCCUUAAACUUAUUUUUAUCAGGAUGCCUCUUAUGGUUAAAUAUAUUUGCUUCCUGUUUGUGAGUUGGAGAAUUGCCAAGCAGAAUGUACACCUCCCUCAGCCUUGAAAGGAUGGAUGCUUCUACCUUUUUUGCAUUAUCGAAGAGAUAAUAAAGUGUAUUUGUGUUAUUCACUAUAUUUUUAGCAAGACUGAGCCCUAGUCCAUGUGCAGACUUCUUGGUUUUGUUUAUUAAUAAAAAUCAUAUAUAUGGCUGCAACCAUUCUGACAGUCUAGAAGUUGCCACCCUUGUUAGGAACUGCAUUUCUGUGAUUAUGAUCAAAAUAUACUAAGGUAGUUGUCUAUAAUUAUCAUCUUGGAACACUCAUGGGCCAUUCUAAGAUAAAGAACUACCACAUCCACCAUAAGCUUGUGUUAUGUUUAUGACCAUCAAUGUCACACCAUGUUAGAGGAAAGCGCAUAUAUUUAUGAAGAUCAAUGUCACCCUGUGUAAGAGUAACGAAUGUAUUAUACUUACGAAGAUCUAUGUCAUACUACCUAAGAGUAAAGUUACAGAGUUGAGAGUCAAGAGUCUUAUAUCCAAUUAGCCUACAACUCCAAGUAUCUCAGUACAUGGAAUAAAACAUAUAAAACAGACAAAAAAAGAAGCUAUAAUGUAAAACCUAAAAAUAAUAAUAAAACCUAGAGAAAAGUGCUUAGACGUUACCCCUCAUUUCUUGCAAAGU
rnacentral:lncRNA from 1 species